rnacentral:rRNA from 1 species
UACGUAGGGUGCGAGCGUUGUCCGGAAUUAUUGGGCGUAAAGGGAGUGUAGGCGGUGGAGUGUGUUUGGUGUGAAAGCCCUCGGCUUAACCGGGGAAAUGCAUUGGAAACUACUCUGCUGGAGUGCGAGAGAGGAAGGCGGAAUUCCUGGUGUAGAGGUGAAAUUCGUAGAUACCAGGAGGAACACCGGAGGCGAAGGCGGCCUUCUGGCUCGUAACGUGACGCUGAGACUCGAAAGCGUGGGUAGCAAACAGG